UUUUAUAUGAUCAAUCAUAUCGAGUGAUUCCAAUGAUGAAUUUGACACGAGUGGUGACUUGAUGACUUUCUUCAGCAAAGAUGGCUGACAAAACAUUAUGGGGAAAGCAAAUGGACUCCUGAGAAAACCAGCAAACCAGGCUGUCGUCUUGGGAAACAGUGGAUGUAAAGAAUAUAGCUAGCUAAAGCAUUUACUGCAAAUUGAAUGUACAAUUGUGUAAGCUUGCCUUGCUGUGCAGUGCAGCUGAAGUAACAUAGCUAGCAAACUAUUUACUUGCUUAUUGUGUAGUGGAGGAUAAAAUAACUGUAUGCCUAUGGAGGUGUAGCUAGCUACAGUAUGUAGCCGACCUGUGUAUGGACCCUAAAACGUUAGGUUCUGAACUAAUAGUCAUACCAAUCUAUGAACUUCAGCUAUCCUAGUUAUUGUAUCAACUUCAAGUCUGAAUGGCAUAAAUGAAGCCUAUGGAUAGAGUAGAAUAUAAUAACUUUAUUGUGCCUUGGAUGCAAGUCCUAUAUACAUGUACUGUAGUUAUUACCACGCAUGAGAUCCCCACUUUGUAGCCUGUAUAAUUAAUAUAUUCACUGAUCAUGUACUCUUCCUUGGCAAAUAAAGAUGCGGUUCAGGUAUGAA